rnacentral:rRNA from 1 species
UACGUAGGGGGCGAGCGUUGUCCGGAUUUAUUGGGCGUAAAGAGCGUGUAGGCGGUUCGGUAAGUCUGUCGUGAAAUCCUGAGGCUCAACCUCGGGCGUGCGAUGGAUACUGCCGGGCUAGAGGGUGGUAGAGGCGAGUGGAAUUCCCGGUGUAGCGGUGAAAUGCGCAGAUAUCGGGAGGAACACCAGUAGCGAAGGCGGCUCGCUGGGCCACACCUGACGCUGAGGCUCGAAAGCGUGGGGAGCAAACAGG